rnacentral:rRNA from 1 species
GUCCCUAUCUGCCGUGGGUGUAGGAUACUUGAGAGGAGUUGCCCCUAGUACGAGAGGACCGGGGUGAACGAUCCACUGGUGGACCUGUUGUUGCGCCAGCAGCAGUGCAGGGUAGCUAUGAUCGGAAAGGAUAACCGCUGAAGGCAUCUAAGCGGGAAGCCCCCCUCAAAACAAGGUAUCCCUGAGGACCGAGGUAGACCACCUCGUCGAUAGGCCGGAGAUGUAAGUGCAGUAAUGCAUUCAGUUGACCGGUACUAAUUGUCCGAUAGGCUUGAUUUGAUCCAG